GUAGCGUUGAGAUAAAAAAAAAACGUGAAAAGAGAAAGGGGAGAAAAAAAAAAGACUGAAAUUUGAGUUGAGUUUCUGUGUUCAAUUUGGAAGGAAAGAAAAUUAAGAUUAUGAACUCUUCAAUUAGUAGAAUUCCUGUAGAAGAUUGAAAGAUAGUUAAAAGAAGCUUCUUUGUGUUCUUGGCUGACGAUUAAGGGUUUUAUUGUAUGACUAGGUGUCUCUGAACUCAGUUGGCGGAUUGCGAAGAUUGAGGUUUGAGUAGCGGUUUGAGGUAGCUUUGAUGUAAGUGGUGUUGAUUCGGCCGAGGAAGAAAUUGACGUUUGGGUCGAUUAAGUGGUCUUAACUUAUGUCCGUGUGAGAUCGUUGAUGGUCUCAAUAGUACUGUGCAGUUUAUGUAUCUUUCUGAAGGUGUUUUCUUUUGAGUUUCUUGAUUGUAAGUAAAACACUAACUUCUAGAUGUAUAUUGUAUAUCACCAAAUAAGACACUUGUAAAUUAGACAGUUAUGUAUAAUAUGAAAAGCCUAGUUUAUGUCCA